rnacentral:other from 2 species
AAUGCCCUGCCCGGCGCGUGAUGUGUCGUACAAGUGAGCCAACACUUCACCAAGGGGAUCCCGGCGUUUGCGUUUGACGGUCUCGCCCUCAGGGGACAAUCCGAUAGCGUGACAGGGAACCCACCUGAAGCAACACGGUUCAGUUGCUUCCGACGCACACGACCGGGCGGGGGACCC